rnacentral:rRNA from 1 species
GUGAGGAAUAUUGGUCAAUGGGCGAGAGCCUGAACCAGCCAAGUCGCGUGAAGGAAGAAGGAUCUAUGGUUCGUACACUUCUUUUGCAGGGGAAUAAAGUGCGGGAGGUGUCCUGUUUUGUAUGUACCCUGAGAAUAAGGAUCGGCUAACUCCGUGCCAGCAGUCGCGGUAAUACGGAGGAUCCGAGCGUUAUCCGGAUUUAUUGGGUUUAAAGGGUGCGUAGGUGGUUUGAUAAGUCAGCGGUGAAAGUUUGCAGCUUAACUGUAAAAAUGCCGUUGAAACUGUCGGAGUUGAGUGUAAAUGAGGUAGGCGGAAUGCGUGGUGUAGCGGUGAAAUGCAUAGAUAUCACGCAGAACUCCGAUUGCGGAGGCAGCUUACUAAGCUACAACUGACACUGAAGCACGAAAGCGUGGGGAUCAAACAGGAUUAGAAACCCUGGUAGUCC